rnacentral:lncRNA from 1 species
GGGGAGGAUUUAUUUGGGUGAAGUCCCAAAUCCUGGCUGCAGCUGAAUUAGCCAUUUGGUUGGCUGGAACAGAAGCUGGCCAAUUAUUCUAAGCUAUGACUGGAUUGGCUAGAGUAGUGAAUAUAGUCCUGAAUUCUACAUGAGAAAUAUGUUCAUCCAGGGGAUCUGCCUGAACGGGCUGAGGUGCUCACUGAUUAUCGAUUCUUUUUUCACUAGCCCUUUUAGGAGGCAUGUUCUAUAA